rnacentral:rRNA from 1 species
UGAGACACGGUCCAGACUCCUACGGGAGGCAGCAGUGGGGAAUAUUGCACAAUGGGCGCAAGCCUGAUGCAGCCAUGCCGCGUGUAUGAAGAAGGCCUUCGGGUUGUAAAGUACUUUCAGCGGGGAGGAAGGGAGUAAAGUUAAUACCUUUGCUCAUUGACGUUACCCGCAGAAGAAGCACCGGCUAACUCCGUGCCAGCAGCCGCGGUAAUACGGAGGGUGCAAGCGUUAAUCGGAAUUACUGGGCGUAAAGCGCACGCAGGCGGUUUGUUAAGUCAGAUGUGAAAUCCCCGGGCUCAACCUGGGAACUGCAUCUGAUACUGGCAAGCUUGAGUCUCGUAGAGGGGGGUAGAAUUCCAGGUGUAGCGGUGAAAUGCGUAGAGAUCUGGAGGAAUACCGGUGGCGAAGGCGGCCCCCUGGACGAAGACUGACGCUCAGGUGCGAAAGCGUGGGGAGCAAACAGGAUUAGA